UUCAGCAGGGCUUCUAAGUUUUCAC
rnacentral:piRNA from 1 species